AAUAAUCUUAACAUAGAGCUCUGAUUGAGAGAGGAGGUAAAGCCACACCGCCGGCUUCCUGGGAUACCAGCCUUGCAGCUGAAGAAACUACCGACGUUACAAUGAUCAAUUCAAAGAAGGGUUGGGGAGAUUUUUUUUCUUCGCAACUCCGCAGACCGCCGAGCAACGCAGUCCGGUAACGGGAGCUACCGGUACUGAAAGUAACACUAGUUGCCUUCGUUACAGACGUUUGGGGACAGAUGAUGAUGCUUCGUUAAUCCUACAUGUAUCGCGCUAAGCCAACUUAAGCUCUCAUCCGCUUCUUUGCUGAACGCGGGAGCUUAUUAGCGAUA